AAAAAAGACAGACCUGGUUUCCGUGUCUAACGUUUGACCGUCCGUCCUAUUUAAAAAAAAUAUGAAAAAAAUUAAAAAGACAAGUCACGUAUAAAAUAUUAAUCAUGCUUUAUCAUCUAACAACAAUAAAAAUACAAAUUAUAAAAAAAAUUCAUAUAAGACAGACAGUCAAAGUUAAACAUGGAAACCCAGAGUUUGUUUUUUU
rnacentral:pre_miRNA from 1 species